rnacentral:rRNA from 1 species
UACAGAGGGUGCGAGCGUUGUCCGGAAUCACUGGGCGUAAAGGGCGCGUAGGCGGCGCGAGCAGUCGGCGGUGAAAGCCCGGAGCUCAACUCCGGGUCGGCCGUCGAUACUCUCGUGCUUGAGCACUGUAGAGGCAGGUGGAAUUCCGGGUGUAGCGGUGGAAUGCGUAGAGAUCCGGAAGAACACCGGUGGCGAAGGCGGCCUGCUGGGCAGUAGCUGACGCUGAUGCGCGACGAGCGUGGGGAGCA